UGUCCAUGAAGCACAGGGACAGGAGUUCAGCCAUUUGGCUGCUUCAGGGGCCAUAGCCCACAGCGAGAGUCACCAAUUGAUCGAGUCAAUGAAUAUACUUGGCGAGAGCAGGCAGCAACUAAGCUAUAAAGCUCAAAACUUAGACAUGAUCAAAUCAGCAGUGAUAGAGACCAAAGGCUAGAGACCCGGCACUUUUAAAAAGUAAGUUUCAGAAAUAGAAAAAUGGUUCAGAAAGCAAGUCAUACCUCCACCAACUUACUCCGGGGUCUGG